rnacentral:rRNA from 1 species
AUUGAACGCUGGCGGCAUGCUUCACACAUGCAAGUCGAACGAGUGGCGGACGGGUGAGUAAUGUAUGGGGACUGCCCGAUAGAGGGGGAUAACUACUGGAAACGGUAGCUAAUACCGCAUACUAUCGGAUAACCCAUAUGGGAUUAGCUAGUAGGUGGGGUAAUGGCUCACCUAGGCGACGAUCCCUAGCUGGUCUGAGAGGAUGAUCAGCCACACGUGGACUGAGACACGGCCCAGACUCCUACGGAGGCAGCAGUGGGGAAUAUUGCACAAUGGGCGCAAGCCUGAUGCAGCCAUGCCGCGUGUGUGAAGAAGGCCUUCGGGUUGUAAAGUACUUUCAGUCGGGAGGCGUUACCGACAGAAGAAGCACCGGCUAACUCCGUGCCAGCCGCCGCGGUAAUUC